CAGGCUACUAAUUUUAUCUUGUCUCGCCCUUGAAUGAAAUCCUAUACAUCCUUGUUCCUGAAUAAAAAAUGUGUGAUAAAAGAGCCCUACCGAGAGCAUUGAAGGGCUUCUGACGACGUGUGGUUAUGUACAAUACGUAACUCGCUCUGUCACAGCAUUAGGAUGUACAGAACUUCUCUUUCUGUUACAGAAAACCUGGGUGCACUUCAGUGGAAGGAGAUGUGGUCAUCAACUCUCCCUGCCCCUCAGCACCAUCUAGAAAUAUCCACUUAAAAAGCAGCAUGUGACUUCCUCAAAACAAG